CAACCCUUAAGCCUCUUGUUGCUUAGCGUUGGGAGCCUGCGUUACAGCAGCUCCCCAAAGUUAGCUGGCGGAGUUAGGAUGUACUCUGAGCGUAGUAAUUUUUCUCGCUUCCUGUAGUCGUCCUAGCCCCGGCCAUUAAACCCCCUAUUUUACAAU
rnacentral:misc_RNA from 2 species